rnacentral:lncRNA from 10 species
UAAUGGCAAAAGUGUUCAAUUCUCUUGUAAGUUGUUUUUGCUUGAAUCAAAAACAAGGAAGGGAGAAUAUUUGGGAAAGUGUUGUGUUUUGCCUAUGGCCCUGGAAGAGAGGGGUCCAGGUGAGAAAAACAAUAAUGGCGACCAGAGACCUGGGACUUGUGGGUAAAUGGAUAACCAAUCUGGAACAAAGGACUGACUCUGGGGGAAUUGGUGGGGGCGGAGGCAUGGUUGGAGGUUAACAUAGGACAAAUUGAACUGCCCUAGUUACCCAGACAUGUGUACACACAAGCCUCACAAGAUUUUCCAAACUUUCAGGAAUUAAGACUGGCUUCAGAAAUAUCCCUGUGCCUAAAUUUGUGCUCUGGGCACAUAAACAUUGCAGUUUACCAGCUUGGUUUGCAGUUCCCAGCCUCUCUUUGCCUGGCCUUAGAACCACAUAGCAUGACCAGGAGGAGUCUCAUCAUUGCUGCAGUGUCAGGGUGGAAGGUCAGCUACCUCAGACUUAGCAUCUUGGCUCAUGCUACCUUGUUGGUUCAAUAAUUGUGGCCAUUUGCCACAUCGACAAAAUAUUUAGCUUUGCAGAGAGAACCCGAGGAUACCCUUGGGACCUCAACUGUUGGAAGGCUUGCUGGGACCCUUCGUGAUCUAACAUGUCUAGGGGCUAUCUGGACAUCCUAGGGUUGGGACUGGAAUCCUGAAACAUGCACAGGGGCAUGUGCACAGGCCAGACUGAGAUAGAGGCCUUUGUCAGCAGGUCAACUAGGCAGCUACUCACAUGAUUUCAGGGGGUUUUAAACUACGGGAUACAUGGACAGAUUUCAGAAGAUCUUUGAAUCUCUUAAAAUAGUAAAUGAAUUUCAAAUCCUUUCUGAGAACCUGCUUUUUUUUUUUUUUUGAGGGGAGAUUUUUUUUUUUUAAUGAGUGGGUGGGGAUGGGAGGAAAUAAAGCAUAGGGUGUCCGAGGAAGGUGAGAAAGAGGAUCUCACUGAGGGUACAAAAGGAUCUUGUGGGGCUACGAAGAUAUAUUUUAUCUACCUUAUAACUUUCUCAUGGAGUAGAGGAAAAAUCACCACCUGGGAAGAGACCAGUAGACAUGUGCCUUUGGGCUGGCAGGACAAGCUGAGCCAGUCUGCAAGACUCACAGUCUAUGGCAAAAACGUUACUCCUGGGUAACUGUACACAAGAAAACCAGUGAGUGAACAGGAAAUGAAAACAUUAAAUCCUAAACCAUUAGUGAGGGAUCCGCCCUCAUGACCCAAACACCUCCCACCAACCAGUAUCAACAUUGGGGAUCAAAUUUCAACAUGAGAUUUUGAGGGGACAAAUAUCCAAACUGUAUCAGCUUCCCAGGUUAUAGACAAGGAAGCAGGUGCAGGGAGACUAAUCAAAAUCAUCCUGGCUCAAUGUGGUUGGGGUCAGCCUUUAAAGCAGUAGUUUGUGACCAUGGCUAUUCAUUAAAGUCACCUGGGGAGAUUUUAAAACUAGCAACAUGUGGAACCACCCUCAAAAAUUCUGUUUAAUUGGCCUAGGGUGGUACCUGGGCAUCAGUAACUUUCAAAAGCUUCCCAGGGAUUCUAAUAUACUGUCAGGAUUGCUACCCAAUACUUUAAAGCUCCAGUCCCUUCUGUUAUCUCUAUUUACCUCUUCUAGACAGAGCUGAUCCAAUGUCCCCAUUUUACAGAUAAGAACACUGAGAUCCAGGGAAGUUCGAUGAGUUUCUUAAAGCAUCAGAACUAUAACUAUAUUUAAAAUCACAACUUAUAUAGCCUUUUUUUUGUCUCUGCAUCAGCUAAAUGCAAACUUGGCUGAGCUUAAGAAUCACCUAUUACUUGAUCAAACUAAAAAUUCCUGGAUUCCUCACCUGGACAUUAUUAAGUAGGUCUGUGGUAGGGACCAGGAAUAUGUAAUUUAAUAAGUAUCCAGUAAGUAAUAUGAUCUGGCCAAUUUGUCAAUUCUGAACUAAUGCGAUUGUUGAUAUUUCCUAAGUUAAAGGAAAUUUGAGUUCUUUAAUGGCAGUGCAAAGGAGAACUUAUAUUUAUUUUUAAUGAUUUUGCCAGGGGAAGGCAUUAAGAAAUACAGUCAUCUAUGGCUUAGCGAUGGGGACACAUUCUGAGAAAUGCAUCCUUAGAUGAUUUUGUCAUUGUGUGAACAUCCUAGAGUGUACAUACACAAACCUAGAUGGUAGAGCCUACUACAUACCUAGGCUAUAUGGUAUAGCCCGUUGCUCCUAGGCUACACACUUGUAUAGUUACUGAAUUGAAUACUAUAGGCAACGGUAAAUAUUUGUGUAUCUAAACAUAGCUAAACAUAGAAAGGU